rnacentral:rRNA from 1 species
CGGCGGACGGGUGAGUAAUGUAUGGGGAUCUGCCUGAUGGCGGGGGAUAACUACUGGAAACGGUAGCUAAUACCGCAUAACGUCGCAAGACCAAAGAGGGGACCUUAGGGCCUCUUGCCAUCGGAUGUGCCCAGAUGGGAUUAGCUAGUAGGUGGGGUAACGGCUCACCUAGGCGACGACCCCUAGCUGGUCUGAGAGGAUGACCAGCCACACUGGAACUGAGACACGGUCCAG